GAUAGCUCAGUAGGUAGAGCGCCUGACUGUUAAUCAGGUUGUCGCAGGUUCGAUCCCUGCUC
rnacentral:tRNA from 1 species